rnacentral:rRNA from 1 species
AGUGAACGCUGGCGGUAGGCCUAACACAUGCAAGUCGAACGGCAGCACAGUAAGAGCUUGCUCUUACGGGUGGCGAGUGGCGGACGGGUGAGGAAUACAUCGGAAUCUACUUUUUCGUGGGGGAUAACGUAGGGAAACUUACGCUAAUACCGCAUACGACCUACGGGUGAAAGCAGGGGAUCUUCGGACCUUUCGCGAUUGAAUGAGCCGAUGUCGGAUUAGCUAGUUGGCGGGGUAAAGGCUCACCAAGGCGACGAUCCGUAGCUGGUCUGAGAGGAUGAUCAGCCACACUGGAACUGAGACACGGUCCAGACUCCUACGGGAGGCAGCAGUGGGGAAUAUUGGACAAUGGGCGCAAGCCUGAUCCAGCAAUACCGCGUGAGUGAAGAAGGCCUUCGGGUUGUAAAGCCCUGUUGUUGGGAAAGAAAAGCAGCAGGUUAAUACCCCGAUGUUCUGACGGUACCCAAAGAAUAAGCACCGGCUAACUUCGUG